AGUGGUCCAGGUGCUGGACCCCGGACGAGGGAGCUGUACCCGGCGAGCGACAAGACGGCCUUCG
rnacentral:ncRNA from 1 species